CUGUUUAGAUUAAUCCUCUCAGGAGUUUCCAAGCUUCAGGUGGUUUUGGAGGUGAAGUCUUGCACAAGAUUGGACAGAGAUCUUGUGAAUUACAUGAUUGCCAAUGUUGUUCUUAAUUCUCGAGUUUUUAUAAUGCUUCUGAAGUGGCUGGUGGCAUGUCUGCUAUUCUUACAUGAUUGUUUUUUGGUUGAAUUUUGCUUUUUCUCAGGCUGAGCAAUGCAGGAAAAUGUAUCCCCACUGGAAUUGAACCUUGGUCUCCAGAAUCAAAGUCCAGUUCCAAACCCACUACACCAUAAUGGCUCACUGACCUGCAUUACAAUACCACAGCAUUGUCUUUAGUCAUGGUCCUAUUCCUGCUGACAGCCCAGCCUAACAGGAGCUCAAUGACGGCAUCAUAAGAUAAUUACCCUUUAAGUGCUGACUGCACAUCCCUACAGCAUCAGCCUUGGGAUAAUGGUGAAGAAGUGUUAGAGGAAUACAUAAUUUCAAUGAUGAGCUGCAGCAAUAUGCCUGCAGUAAAAAAUACAAUGAAGCUGGACCUCAGAAAAAAAUGAGAUUGUAUUCUAGGUGAUCCUUCUGCAGCUGUAUGUAUAUAUAGCAGACAAGAGUAAGAUUCACCAGCAUGAAGACAAGCAACAGAGGCACUUUUAUUACGAUCUGCAGAAAGGAUGCUAUGUACAGCACGGAUGCCACAAAUGUACAACCAUAGCAUACAAGGGGUUCCAAAAACGGGUGCAUCUUAGAUUCAGUAGUGCCUUACAUUCACCGAUGUUGGGAUUUAGAGAGGAGCAGAGGGAGGAAGAGCUCCAACCCCAAAUGACUCCAGUUUUUAAAACAACAACAACAGUCUUACUGCCCAGAAAGAGGGAGAAGGAAUAUGACUGAGUUAAGCACCAUUUCCUGCUUCUGCUACCUGUCCCCAACAAGCCUAUAGACUUAGUAAAAAAGACUUGUGCAGACAAAACGGCUUCUGAGU